UACGAAGGGGGCUAGCGUUGUUCGGAAUUACUGGGCGUAAAGCGCACGUAGGCGGAUCGAUCAGUCAGGGGUGAAAUCCCAGGGCUCAACCCUGGAACUGCCUUUGAUACUGUCGAUCUGGAGUAUGGAAGAGGUGAGUGGAAUUCCGAGUGUAGAGGUGAAAUUCGUAGAUAUUCGGAGGAACACCAGUGGCGAAAGCGGCUUCCUGGACCAGCACCGACGUUCAGGCACGAAAGCGUGGGGAGCAAACAGG
rnacentral:rRNA from 1 species